AUUGAACGCUGGCGGCAUGCCUUACACAUGCAAGUCGAACGGCAGAACGGGUGCUUGCACCUGGUGGCGAGUGGCGAACGGGUGAGUAAUACAUCGGAACAUGUCCUGUAGUGGGGGAUAGCCCGGCGAAAGCCGGAUUAAUACCGCAUACGAUCUACGGAUGAAAGCGGGGGACCUUCGGGCCUCGCGCUAUAGGGUUGGCCGAUGGCUGAUUAGCUAGUUGGUGGGGUAAAGGCCUACCAAGGCGACGAUCAGUAGCUGGUCUGAGAGGACGACCAGCCACACUGGGACUGAGACACGGCCCAGACUCCUACGGGAGGCAGCAGUGGGGAAUUUUGGACAAUGGGCGAAAGCCUGAUCCAGCAAUGCCGCGUGUGUGAAGAAGGCCUUCGGGUUGUAAAGCACUUUUGUCCGGAAAGAAAUCCUUGGCUCUAAUACAGUCGGGGGAUGACGGUACCGGAAGAAUAAGCACCGGCUAACUACGUG
rnacentral:rRNA from 1 species